CCCGCCGGCGACCGGCGCACGGGUGAGUAACACGUAUGCAACCUGGCCGCCACGAGGGGACUAACCCGCGGAACGCGGCCUAACUACCCCGUGACGCCACCGGAGGGCAUCCUCCGGUGGCCAAAGGAGCGAUCCGGUGGCGGAUGGGCAUGCGGCGCAUUAGCUAGACGGCGGGGUGACGGCCCACCGUGGCGACGAUGCGUAGGGGUUCUGAGAGGAAGGCCCCCCACACUGGGACUGAGACACGGCCCAGACUCCUACGGAAGGCAGCAG
rnacentral:rRNA from 1 species